rnacentral:tRNA from 1 species
GGCUCUGUAGUGAAGUUCAUGGUGGGUUGCAAGCCCAUUGAUGUGCACUAAUCAUGCACCGGGGUCU